CCCUGUUGACACAUCUCUCCCUAAGGCACCCAUGACCUCCAAGCUCCCCUGCAAUCCUCCUGCUUCUACUUCCUGCACUCAUUCAGAAGUUGGACGGUCCUGAUUUAAAGAGUUACGUCAGUCAGGUCCGCAAGAGCAGCUAUUGGGAGAAACUGAUGACGUUGGUUUCAGCAGGAAAGCUUUUUUAUGUUUCAGCAAGAUCUCAAGCACCCUUCGUUUCCAAUGACCUACAUCCAUUGCAUUAUAUUUUUUUCCCAGUGAUAGACAC